ensembl:lncRNA
GUGGGUUUGAAUCCAGUUCAGCAGUUUGCAUGUUGUUCACGUGCAUUUCUGCAGGGUGCUCUGGUUUCCUCCCGCAAUCCCAAGCCAUGUGAAUGGGUGUCUCUAAAUCACCAUUGCUGUUCGUGCGAGUGUGAUUGCACUGCGAUGUACAUGAUCCAGGGUGUAACCCUGCCCCGCAGUCUGUGCUUCCUGGAUAGGCUCUGGACCACCAUGACCCUACACUGAACAACCUGUUACUAAUAAUGAAUGCAGUAACAAGCAAUUGUUUACAUUUAUAUGACAAAGAUCCAACACAUUGCUACAGGUCAAUGUUUGCGCAUUCAAGUUCAAUAUUUGCACUUCAUCAAGGAGUUUUAUGGAACGGCCUUAAACCCUCGGAAGGGGUGUCACGGGGGAAUUUUGCCAGCUGGAGGACUGUGCAUGUUUACCUGGGCGCCUCUCUUCAUUUGCCACUUUAUUACAGGAGCAAUAACAGCCAAUAACAGAAUUUCGCCUUCCGUUCGAGAUUCCGUUGCAGGCAGCCUCACCAACCCCGUCGGCACGCCGGCAGUUUGUCAUCUUGUACCAGCUGCAGAGCCGCCCGCCGUGGAGGUCCGUGGCCUGCCAGUGGCAGAUGUGGUUGGCCGUGGCCGUGAGCGCCGCCCUGCUGGCGCUGGUGCCGUACGCCGUUUUCCGCAUGAUGACAGCAUUCCGGAGCCCCUCGCCUCACUCCCUCUUCAAGGCAGCCGCCGUCUGCUUCGGCCUGCUCGCCGAGACCCUCCUGCUCAAGUGCCUGGCGGGAUACUGCAGCAGUCGAUACCGCAAGGCCGAGCUGUCCUCCUUCUCGGUGCAGCCGCGCAGCGUGGAGGGGCCUGCAGCUACGAGGGGCGCCGAAAACCGGGAUCCCUCGGACGGAUCCCGCGGAAAAGCCGAGCUGUAGCCGGAAAAAAAUCCAACGGAAAACCAAACUGAUUUCGAGACUCGGUCGGCAUCGGGAUUGGGCCAUUUCAAACCCUGCCACUGCAGUCAUGUUUCAACGGAAGUUUCAGGGAUCCGGCGAGGCAGGAGGCCUAAAGCUCUUGGUCGGACACGACGGGGAAGUUCUCUAGACUCCGCUGACUAACGUGCUCCUUGGGUUUCGUUUCUGGGGGGGAUUUUGCGAGUGAAAGUUUGCAAGGUCUGAUUUGCAUGUCUAUGGAAGCUUUGUUUGUACUGCUUUUGGUUUUACUUCCUUAGUGGGGGAUUCUUAUGGGGAAAUGGUUUGGUACGCGGAUCUGUGUCGGGCGUCUCCCGCUUCCGUUACACAUAGCGGCAGAAGACGAGGACGCCACGUGGUCGUGGGCUCUGGAGGGCCGACCUGAUGAAAUUCUGCUUUACCACGCUGUUGUAAACACAGCAACGGACCCAAAGUCUCUCUUGUGAUAUGGCAAGAAUACACAGUGUACAUAGCUAUUCAUAGUGACACCCUAUAAUCCAGGUAAAAUAACAUAGGAUAUUGCGGCAUAAGUUGAGAACAAGAAAAUUUCCAUAAGAGAAUUGUUACCUUUGAUUAGCCUGUCAUUCCCCUUUAGUCCUUCCUCCCCCAUAAUUACUAUCAUAAUUAGAUUGAACUGGACUUGAUUACAAUACAUUUAAUUGCAUUAUCAGGAUGUAUAUUAUUUCUGUUUUUUUCUCCUUUUCUUCUUAUUAGAAAGCAGAUGCCAACCUAUCUCACUUUUUUUGUUGUAGUUAAUGGUGAAAAUUCGUUCCAGGUUCACGAGGAGGAAUUUAAUCGUUAAUUUUUCACAAGUGCCUCGGUCCUUUAAUGCCGAGCUGCGUGUGUACAAUUUUACAGCCUUGGAAUAUUUUGGAAUGCUGCCUCAAUAGUUUUCGCUCGUAAUGAAACGUUUCUUUAAGUGUUGAUUUCAUACAGAAAAAUUACUCCAGCUGUUUAAAAGAGUAAGCAAAUGUGCAGAGUUGUAGUCGCUCAACUUGGCAUCUUCUCAAUACGUGUGAACUUAUAGCCUCUCAAGCGGAGGAUUCCAGCGAGGAUGCUGCUUUCUGUGGAAUGUGCCUGUGGCCUCUCAGUCAUGGCUAAAUUCAGCCCCGGCUGCGAUGCUGCGAUCGGUGUCACCUGUCCUUGUGCAUCUCAUUAGGUCCAUUAGCCUCCACAGGCUUUGCUUCCCUCUAAUUAGACGGACUAUGAGACAGCAGCGAGAGAGAGGGGGCGACGGCUGCAUCUGCGGCGGUUAAAUCACCCUUAAAACCCUGAUUAAUCAAACGGGGGCAGGGAGGAAAAUUGGAGUAAAUAUAAAUAUUCCCUAAUUGACGAUCCACGAUGGGGGAAGGAAUAAUGCCUCUGUUUGCGUGUCAGCGUUCUGGAUUUUUACGUGCAACACAUGCGCUAGUGCUGUCGCGAUGGGAAGCGCGCUCUUCCCCAGGUCUGCGAGGAGAGGCCUAGGGGCAUCGCUGUGUUGUGUCACUUCCCUGUGAGCCAGGGGCACAACUGAAGCGUAAAAAAGAAAAAAAGAUUCCUGAUUCAGUACUUUUUGCUACAGAUCAGGUCUUUCAGGUUUUUUUUCCACGUCAUUGUCUAUUAUAGCACAUUUACUCUUUGUGAGUGUGUGUGAGUGUGUGAGUGAGUGCAACUGGAGGAUGCCACUGGGAGCAAUGGGAAUGCCGCAAAAUGCCAUAACAAAAGUGAGCCUGCGGCCGCGAGAUUUCCGAGCUUAACACUGGGACGCAGCAGAUGGGCGCCCCCGUGACUGCGCAAGUGCGGAUUAUUGCAUUUUCGGCAUCUGCGUCCCCACAUGGCCGCGAGGAACACGGCAGGAGAGGUGGACGCUGGUGAAGGCCGCUCUAGUGCCCACCUGCCUCCAGCUGCUGCCGCCCCCUAAGUCUCUCACACGCGCACAGACACACACACACACGCGGACCCUUUACAGCAGUUCAUUCCCAUUCAUGAAGCAUCCUUCAGGUUAUCUCCUUUUACAAGACAUUAGCUCCAGAAAUGCUGUUUCAUGAUGCCUAUAGCGUCCAGGCAAAUCCUCCCAAUAUCCAGCUUUCAAUUUUUUUUCAAUUGUUCCUUUGCUUUUCCUUUUUUUUUUUUUUUGCCUUGUUUUGCAAAACAUGUUGCUUUGUGCUCUUGAAUUUAUCUUCUUUUUAAUUCAAGGUGACACUGGUGCAAUAAAAAAUGGAAUGAUUUGAUUUUAGGCUGCCA